UACAGGAGGUCUCAACCGUUGUUCGGAUUCAUUGGGCGUAAAGGGUGCGUAGGCGGUCGUGCAAGUCGGAUGUGAAAUCUCAGGGCUCAACCCUGAAACUGCAUUCGAUACUGCGCGGCUAGAGUGCUGGAGGGGAGACUGGAAUUUACGGUGUAGCAGUGAAAUGCGUAGAUAUCGGUAAGGAAGACCAGUGGCGAAGGCGAGUCUCGGACAGCAACUGACGCUGAGGCACGAAGGACCAGGGGAGGCAAACGGGAU
rnacentral:rRNA from 1 species